GCUUUUUCUCUGAAUUGUCUCUUUUUGUCAAAGUUUAAAUCCCACUGCCCUUCUGAAAUCUGUUAACUCUUGAUCUGAAGAUUGAAGAAUCAACCUCUCCCUUAUUAUUUAGCUGAACUCUUCCUUUCAUCCUUGGAAAAAAAAAAAAAAGCUCUUCCUUUCUUCGUGUUAUAGCCAUGUCAGGCAUAGAGGCGGCAGCAGCUAUUGGCCCCGUCUGUGACGCUAUCAAAGGCGUCUCCUCUUUUUGUUGCGCUCGCGCAGAUUACUUUGAUGAUUUGGAAACCCAUCUCAUCGUCGC
rnacentral:misc_RNA from 1 species